GAGUAUAAUAUCGUAUCGAUUAAAACGAUUAACAGUCACAAGAAAGAUUUUACAGAAAAGCCUAAACAAAUUUUCAACUCCAUUUUGGCGUUGGUCAUUUUUAUCCAUUUUGAACUUCGAUAUAUUUUCAGUAAUGUCUUUUAUUGAGCAACGAGGCGGUCUUUAUUCAGCGCCUAAUAGUCAACCAAAGACUAUUGUAUAUAAUGGUGGAGUAACUAGUUCAAGUUCAGGAAAUGAUGUUGUCAAAGAACUUCAACAACGUCAAAGAGUAUAUCAGAGUAACAUGUCAGCUAUUGUAAAAGCUACAAAUGAAAGGCGUGUGAGGAUGACUGUUGGAUUUCUUUUGGCCACUGGAGCGAUGCCUAUUUAUAUAUUGUAUUCAUUGGUGAAACCAAAAUAAUUUUAUAAAAACACAUCUAACUUAGAAACAAAUUGCUAAGUUGUUUAUUGAAUUGGAAAUAUUGAUUUAUAAAUUUAA